GGGCCAUAGCUCAGUGGUACAGCAUCCACUUUGCAUGCAGAAGACCCCAGGAUGAAUUCCUGGCAACUCCA